rnacentral:lncRNA from 1 species
GCACUUAAAUGCCAGAGGGCUAACGGGAGGUGGUGUGCGUUUGGGGACUGUCGGUCUCUCCUAGGGGCUUUUGCUUUCCCGCUUUUCAGGAGAAGAGGAGAAAGAGCCGAGAAAAGCGUUCUUACUAGGCUGACGCGUAGGAAAAGAAAUCCAUUCGGUGCCUUAACCUACCGCCGGGAGCCUCUACAGAGAAGCGUGCCGCGGGAAUGUGGCUGCCCCGCCCGCCUGGCCGUCGGCUCGCUGCCUAGCCCUGUCCUUUGGCCCAGUGCUGAGGGAGGCCAGGUGAGUGCCGGGAGCCAGACGGGACUGUGCCCUCCGGCCAGGCCUCGAAAGCUGACGGGCGCGCGCUGGGGGUCGUGCCCCCAUCCUCGCCGCCCCCUCCCCCCGGAGGCCUGCCCGGGGCCGCCCGCAUUGUUCCGCGAUGACUCGGGAUCAAGCGACACAAAGGAGCGCCGGGCGGCCGGGCCGAGCGAGCCAAGGGCAAGAGGUCACUUCCGAACAACUGGGCCAGAAAAGCUCACUUCCAGGGGCGGGCCCCAAGGGGCGGGCCGGGGGAGGAGGCGGCUCAUUGAAGAAAGAUGUUCUCACACAGUACUUCCUGACAGUGAAGGAGAAUCUGCUGAUUUUGACAGCCAUAAAUCUGGUUACCUAAUCCCAAGCCAGUUCCCAUCCAGAAAAUGAUGAGCUCUGGCAUUCACCUGGGGAGACAAAGCUCAUCGGAAGUCGUUAAAUGUUUUAAUGUGACUCAUAAAGAAGGAAGAACUGGCCAACCAACCUACUAGCCAUGGCUUUCUCAGCAAAUCAGGGUGUGCACCUGCAGAAGCCUUUUCUAACAAGGUUUGCUUCACUUUGCAAUUGGUAUUAUUAAAUAUUUAUUGACCUUCUUGAACUCGGGUAUAGUGUUCUUACCAUAGAGUCUUUGGAAACUCGCUCAGUGAGCAGCUGACAUUUUCUCAGCUUCUAGUAUAAAUAGAUGGGAUGGAUUGGCUUGACUGAUAAAGAAGGAUGAUUGGAAACUUCUCCCACUCAGCUCUGAGCUGUGGUGUCCUAUGGGUGGGCUAUGAUGGUAUCUAUUCCAGGAGAAAAUGGGCUGCCUCCCUGGAAGCCCCAAAUUCAUUUUCCUCCUGAGGUGAAUCCAAGACAUUAUGGCAGACCUGAAGGGUAGAGAUCUUGGAGUUGUCCCUGGAGUGGAAAAUGGAAAUCACUGGAAUGUCUCUUUAACAACCUCAUUUGUCUCCUUCUUGAGGGGAAUCCAAAUGUGUGGGUAAUACUUGUAAGGCUGGAGAGUUGCAUAGUCCCCUACAGGACAAAGGAAGCUCUUGAGCAUCAGAUACUUAUGGGUGACUGUGAGUCCUUUGAGCUGGCUGUGGGAGGAAAUUAAAGGCUGCCCAGUAGCCAAUAAGUACUGUGACUACUUCCCCACAUCUGUGAAGACCUAGGUAAUAGCUGUAGUCCAAGAUUCCCAGAGGAAACCCUGAACUGAGACAAAAUGAGCCAAAGAGAUGGGAUCAGGGCAGGGAGAGCUUAGGGAUUCUGGGCUCUGGAUAGCAGUAGAAAAAGGGAAAAUGCAAUGUGUUGGAGUUGGAAUGGUACAGGAC